rnacentral:tRNA from 1 species
CAAAAUAAAGCUUUAUAGUUCAGCAUCUCACUUACGUUGAGAAGGUUUAUCGUGCAAAUCGAUUAUAUUUUGA